rnacentral:rRNA from 1 species
CGCGUAGGCGGCUUGACAAGUCCCGGGUGAAAUCCCUCGGCUCAACCGAGGAACUGCCUUGGAAACUGUCUGGCUUGAGGCCGGGAGAGGGUAGUGGAAUUCCCAGUGUAGCGGUGAAAUGCGUAGAUACUGGGAGGAACACCGGUGGCGAAGGCGGCUACCUGGACCGGUUCUGACGCUGAGGCGCGAAAGCGUGGGUAGAAC